UACGAAGGGUGCAAGCGUUAUUCGGAUUGGUUGGGCGUAAAGGGUGCGCAGGCGGUGUGCUAAGUCAACUGUUAAAUUUCCCAGCUUAACUGGGAGCAAGCGGUAGAUACUGGCAUGCUUGAGGGUGGAAGAGAGAAGUGGAAUUCUCGGAGUAGCGGUAAAAUGCGUAGAUCUCGAGAGGAACACCAAUGGCGAAGGCAGCUUCUUGGUCCACACCUGACGCUCAUGCACGAAAGCGUGGGGAGCAAACAGG
rnacentral:rRNA from 1 species